rnacentral:rRNA from 1 species
GACGAACGCUGGCGGCGUGCUUAACACAUGCAAGUCGAACGGAAAGGCCCUGCUUUUGUGGGGUGCUCGAGUGGCGAACGGGUGAGUAACACGUGAGUAACCUGCCCUUGACUUUGGGAUAACUUCAGGAAACUGGGGCUAAUACCGGAUAGGAGCUCCUGCUGCAUGGGGGGGGUUGGAAAGUUUCGGCGGUUGUGGAUGGACUCGCGGCUUAUCAGCUUGUUGGUGGGGUAGUGGCUUACCAAGGCUUUGACGGGUAGCCGGCCUGAGAGGGUGACCGGCCACAUUGGGACUGCGAUACGGCCCAGACUCCUACGGGAGGCAGCAGUGGGGAAUAUUGCACAAUGGGCGGAAGCCUGAUGCAGCAACGCCGCGUGCGGGAUGCCGGCCUUCGGGUUGUAAACCGCUUUCGCCUGUGACGAAGCGUGAGUGACGGUAAUGGGUAAAGAAGCACCGGCUAACUACGUG